rnacentral:rRNA from 1 species
GACGAACGCUGGCGGCGUGCUUAACACAUGCAAGUCGAACGGAAAGGCCCUGCUUUUGUGGGGUGCUCGAGUGGCGAACGGGUGAGUAACACGUGAGUAACCUGCCCUUGACUUUGGGAUAACUUCAGGAAACUGGGGCUAAUACCGGAUAGGAGCUCCUGCUGCAUGGUGGGGGUUGGAAAGUUUCGGCGGUUGUGGAUGGACUCGCGGCUUAUCAGCUUGUUGGUGGGGUAGUGGCUUACCAAGGCUUUGACGGGUAGGCGGCCUGAGAGGGUGACCGGCCACAUGGGGACUGAGAUACGGCCCAGACUCCUACGGGAGGCAGCAGGGGGGAACAUUGCACAAUGGGCGGAAGCCUGAUGCAGCAACCCCGCGUGCGGGAUGACGGCCUUCGGGUUGUAAACCGCUUUCGCCUGUGACGAAGCGUGAGUGACGGUAAUGGGUAAAGAAGCACCGGCUAACUACGUG